GUGUCAGCCGCCGCGGUAAUACGGAGGGUGCGAGCGUUAAUCGGAAUUACUGGGCGUAAAGCGCGCGUAGGCGGUUUACUCAGUCAGAUGUGAAAGCCCUGGGCUUAACCUGGGAACUGCAUUUGAUACUGGUAGGCUAGAGUUUGGUAGAGGGAAGUGGAAUUCCGGGUGUAGCGGUGAAAUGCGUAGAUAUCCGGAGGAACACCAGUGGCGAAGGCGACUUCCUGGACCAAAACUGACGCUGAGGUGCGAAAGCGUGGGGAGCAAACAGGAUUAGAUACCCCCGUAGUCC
rnacentral:rRNA from 1 species